UGCAGCCCCUGCCCUGAUGGCACACCUUCCCACAGGUCUCAGUGGACUUGCCCUCUGCAGAGCAGCCCACCCGACUCCCCAGACUUCAGAAGUAGCAGCAGAGAAAAAUCCUUAAAAAUGGUUAUGGUAAAUCAGUGGCCCAGAACCUAGAGAGACAUGAGAAUGUGGAUGGGAGGGUCUGAGAGGAGGUGGGAUUUGAUGGAAUGUCCUAGCAAGUAAGACCUGGCACCCUAGAGCUAAAUCAAUGAGUAAAAGAGAAGAUGAAUUAAUACAGAAAUGAAAAAAUAUAUAUUAUUAUGGUAGAAAUUGAAGGGACACAGAGGCAGAAGGAAACAACGGGCUCCUCUCCCUGCAUCCCUGCUCAGGAGCCUAUGGCCUGCCAUAAGAGAACAAACAGCAGGGCUCAAAAACCAGCCCUGCCACUUACUAGCUUCGUGACCUGGUGUAAAGUACUAAUCCUCUGUAAGCCCCAGCUUCCUCAUCUCUACAAUGGAGUAAUUCUAUUAACCUCCAUCAGAGGUUGUAAUGAAGAUUAAAUCAGAUAAUGUUUAUGAUAUAUCUGACACAGUGCUGUGUACAUAAUAAACAUGCAGUAAAUGUUAGCUGAAAAUGCAUUUCUAGUUCAUGUUGAGGAAUAAAAAAGGGGCUUUUGUCAGGCUCCAUAAAGCAUGUGGCCGGGACUAGGACAUUGGGCUAGUCUGAUAUGAAGCCAUUCUCUGACCCAGGGCAUUUUAAUUCAGUGCUGAAUGUAGCAAAACAAAGCCAAACCAGCAAUGCUACCACCAUUUGAAUCCAUUGUUUAGCUGAGAAAUGACAGCAAUUGUAAGUUUUGGGUUGAGGGCAGCAAGAUUUUGAUAUUUCUUUGUUAAUGGCAUCGUUUUAGCAUUUUACCUUCAGAAAGAAAGCAAAAAAUCGUGUGAGGCUGCUGCAUGAAAGAGCUAAGGAGGACCCAGCCCCACAGCAAGAGAAGCAUCACUUAAUGGAGCCUGCACUUCUCAAGCCUCCCGAAGUCGCCAAGAAAUUCUUCUCAAGUGAACAGCAACAGAGUAUUUGCCUGCUAACCCAACCACUAGGUUGCAUUUGGAAGUAAAAUAUUAUCCAGUAGGAUUAAUUAUUAUAUCACACUGGACCAGAUGCCUCUACCAUGCAUCAGUUUUCUUGGUUGGUCACAUAUUAACAAUCACUGUCUUGACAUUCUAAACAUGCUGUCUGAUUAGUAGUUCCUGGCAGCAGUGGCUGAUAGCAGUUACUGGAAUCUCUGCUUACUGGGGGAUUUCGUAAUCUACACCUAGCUGCAUGGCUCGUCACGAUAUCUCAUGAUAUUUGGCCUAAAGAGUGUUAUAUUCAGACCGAUCUCCUUCUCAUUUGUUCAACGUGUACUGCUUUUUCUACCUUUGUACCUUUGCUGUCUUUCCUCCACCCAAAACGGCCUUUCCUCCUCUCCACUGGUUCAAAUUCUAGAAUUCUUUAAGAUUCAAAUCAAAUGCUCCUUUUGUAUGUCAUCAACCUGAAUUAAAAACAGUGUUCUUCUGAAUUCCCACUGUACUUCAACUUUCUGCACAGUACUUUUUGCUUUCUCUCCUGUAUUUUCCUUUUCAACACUAUGUCUUACACAUGAUUGGCACUAAAUAAGAGUUUGUUGAAAGCAUGAACCAGUGACCCACUACAACUAAGGCUACUAUAAAUUAUUGAAUAAUGUAAACAUAAAUAUCAUCUUAGUGAAAAGAAAACACUUUACUCCCUAUGAGGAAAUCCUGCUUUUUAACCAACAGCUAAGUCCACUUCCUGCUCAUGUGCCUCCUGAAGGGCUUGAGAGUCUCCAAGCAGAAUGGAUUCUAGAAUUUCAUCUCUGGCUUAUCACCAAAAUAGCUUGGCCUUGCUCUCACUUCUUGGAUAUUGAAACUGCCCUAAGUAGUGACAGGAGAAUUCAGAAUUAUGGAAUCGUGUAAAUGACAAAUUUAAGUUGGUGCUUUGGACUGCAAAACUAGCAAAGAAACUGUCUACUUGUCCCCUUUAUUGAUUUACUCAUUCCCAGAAGUGAGAGUCCUAGAGGGGCUAGAGAUGACCUAGAGCUGGGUCAGCAUAGAAACUGGGAGGAUAAUAAAGGAUAUUCAUAUGAACUCAGUAUGAGAUGAUAUUAAGGAAUUAUUUUUCAAUUCUGUCUGAUUGAGUAAUGGCAUGUUUAUUAUGAAAUAUAAAAGCCUUUUCAGUCAGAGAUGCAUGCUGCAAAAUGACAUGAUUUCUGGGAUUUGCUCUGAAAUGCUCAUGAGAAAAGAGGAAUGGAGAACAAUAACAAGAUUGGGAAAAUGUUGAUAAUUUUUUAAUUGAGUGAUUAGUAUAUAGAAGCUCAUUAUACUAGUCUCUGUAUUUUUGUGUGCUAAAACAUUUCUACACUAAAAGUUCUAAAAGAAAAUAGUCUUUAAAGGCAAUAGUUAUCCCCAUGUAGCUGAUCUCCAAACAAGAUGUUUGCCUGAAAUGACAAAAAAGGGGAGAAAGGGAAUUUUAUUAUCUAGAUCACCAGUCCAUGCCAUUUGAUUUAAUCCAGGCUACCCAGAUCACUGCUGUGUUAUAUCUCUGGUAAGUAACUCAGAAAGCUAUAUAUGUGCAGCAUAACCUAAAAAAGAUAUCUAUAGUUUUAACCUCAAACACAUUAAAGUUAUUUACAUUGUGUCCUUGAUCAAGACUUCAGACUUAUUUCAGUAGACAAUUUCUUUGGUGUGUGUUUGUUGUUCCUUGAACUCAUAGUUAUGUUUUUCAAAAAAUCAGCUAUACUGAAAAAAGGAGGGAGGAGAAGGAGGGAAAGGAGGAUCAGAAGUAGUCUAUAGGUUAAUAAAUUUCCUGGCAGGAUAUCCUAGUAAUAAUCUAGGUAAGCACUUAAUUUUCCAGCAUAUCUGGCUCUAAUUUAAAUUUAGCAGUGAACCACUUAUAAAAUACAGUGUCUUUUUCAUAAGUUAAUUAAUAACCCUCCACCUUUUGUGGAGGCAAAAGAUCAGAGAAAUUCAGAAUUUUUCUCCUUAGCUUUAAUCAAAAUAGUCCCAAAUUUCUUUUCAUUGAGUAAUCUACAGCAGCAAAAGAUUUGUCAUGUUAAAUGUUGCUUGUUGCCUUUUGCAAAUAUAAACAAGGACUGAAAUCCUCGGAAACUUGAGGGACGUUUAUUUUAUUUCCAUUUUUUCCUAUUUAUUUUUACUUUCUAUUAUAUAAAAACUGUACGUUUUUGGUCCCAACUUCACCAAGUAUCAAAUGGUAAGAGAGUGGAAGUAAGUUUAUUAAUUUGCUUAAUGGAACUGGUUUGGCAACUUCAGAAAAAGGAAUAUUGCAGUUAUAUAUUUUAAAAACCUUAGUAGGGCCUUUUAUUGUCUGCUACUUGCAUAGAAAGAAUUUUACAGAGUUUGGUAGCUUAAUAGUGCUUCAGCAGAUCAAGGCUUUAAAAAGUAGAAUUAACUAAGCUAAGUUUGAAGAAGCUAACAAAAACCUUGAAACUGGCAGCAGCCUACAUUUUCACAUUCCUCUGUACAUUAGGCUAUUGUAGACAUCCAAAUCCAUCAGAAAAGAUCUACUAAUUCAGCAUUUCCUAAAUAUAUUUAUAGAACUGAGAUAUUUUUAAUGUUUACCUGAAAAAAAGGACUUCAUGGUUAAAGAAGUUAGAGAAAUCUGGGUCAAAGUUCAAGUAUCUCUAUACUUCAGGACUUCCUAGACUAUUAAAUAUGGUAAUAAGUAUUAUGAAUGUUCAAGAAGAGAAAUGUCGUAAGACCAGUGUAAUAUCAAAAAUCAUCUUGUAGAACUAGUAUUUACAAAAUAUAUUGAUGAUUAUGAUCUGAAAAUACACCCAGGUACACACACACAGAUAUGAACAUUCUAGAAGAUACAAGUGAGCCAUUUUUUCCUCUGGUAUGAAUAAGUACAGAGGCAACUAAAAUUGUGUUCCAGCAAGGCAAGGAAUAUCUCCCAUUCAUUCAAGGAAACAAGAGAGACCCAUUUUUCCAGCAGUCCUUCAGACUGUGGAUUCUGAACGGCAACUUCCUUCCUGCUCUAAAAACAGCAAAUACAGGAACAAGGAAACUGAUUAAAGAAGGAGAUGUCCUCCUUGUUGCUUUUAGGCAAUGAACAUUCAACACUGUGGCAAAGAAGCAGGCUUCCUAUAAUCCCUAGGAAACUUACUAAGAUGUGGCUUCGACAUUCUGUAAAACCUGGAAGGACUCAUUUUGCCUCUUUUCUCCAUGCAUCACAAUCCAGCCUCUACUUGGAUCAUUCCAGAAUAGUCUGGGUACCAGUCUCAACUCAACUUAUACUAUUGCUGAAACAAAGUCUGGGAGGGAAUUAUGUGCCAGUGGUUGCCCAGCCAGCUAUAGCAGCUACUGGAACAAGAUCUGAGAGUCACAUCUGAGCUCAUGAAGCCCAGAUUUUCUGAAGCAGUUCCUCAAUAAAAUUUCAAAGAAGUCUGGCAAGGAACUUCCCAUGAAAGAGGCCAGAAGAGAUAGGAAGAACAGAAGUGAUAUUUGGACAAUCAGUUCUUGACUUAGGGUCUGAAAACGGACAGAAACCCCCAGGACUCUGUGAAGCUCCUAGUGAACCUGUGCAGACAGUGCAAGAGUGAUGCACAGCCUAUGGUGACAGCUGAUAAAACUGGAUAAAAUUAAGUUUUAUUUUUACUUCAGAGUGUUUCGCCUUCACCUCUCUUUUCCACAUAGGUCACUUACAGUAAAAUAAAAGUCAUAUAAUGUAAAUAAAAUAAAUAAAAGUGUUCUUAUUAAAAGAAUGAACACUGGGUUUCCAAUGCUAAGGAAAUCAGCCCUUCCAUGUUAAAACAGCCUUAUAUAUUGGCACCUACUGGUAGUAAGAGAAAGAAAAUUUUGGCAAAAUGCUAGAUUAUUUUGUUUGACUGUUUAUAUAACAAGUCCCCUUUCAAACGUAUGUUAUCUUCAUCCCUUUCAAAAAGCGUUUUUGAAGUUUGCUAGCUUAUAUCCACAGGUCCACUUCCCAGCCUCUUUCACGAUGAGUACCACCAGCUCUUAGGUCUUCUUCCUAUUUAAGUGUCACAGACAGGAUCCUCCACAGACUUCAAAGCCAUUUCCAGAGAGUCCUAGGUCAUAACUUAUACAUAAAUAAAAUAUUUAAUUCUGAUGCACAUGCUUUUUGAUGGCAAGAAUUUGUGAAAAAUAAGUAAAGGAAUAAAUUUCACAUUUGGCUUCCAUAGUGCAGGACUGAAACACCAGCUACAGGAUAGCAAGA